ACACACAUAAAGCGUUCGCUAAAUCAGGGGGUUUAAGCUGCUGUCUUGCUGAAAAGGUCGUUACUACAGACACCGAAAUGGUAGCACUAUUCUAAUGCGUUGCAAAGACAAGCUGCUGUACCAGAAGAGCAGCAGGACUUCAGAGAGCACAAAGGCUGUUUUAACACAACCUGAUGUAUUUUAUGGCAGCCAAUUAAAAUAUAUUAAGUUGAAAUAUGCAAGUGCAAACAAUCCUUAUCUUUGUUUCGCUUCAGCUCUGAACAUGAAAACAUACAACCUCUUAACAUAAUAAUCCUGGUGAUAGAUUUGAGAUUUAUAUUUCACCUUUCACGCUGGGGCCAUCGGGGUGGAAAAGUCUUUCAAGUUCAGUUCAAUACCAGCAGUGCUGAAACUGGUAAAUAAACACAACUUCAAUUUACUGUGCAGACACAGGAAAAACACGAUGGAGUCGGAAUUACCAGACCCUGGUGUUACGGGGGAAAGGAACUUUGGGCAUGAAUUCAGCCGAGGGUCUCUCCUGUAGAGAGCUAUGGAGUAUUAAACACCACCUGAACACAGAAAUAAGCAAAAUAAUCUGGUUAAUAUUAGUUAAUAUUUCAAUGGAUUUUAAUUGAUUAUCUGACAGGCUACACUUUCCUAAGAGAGGAGCCUGGGGUUUCCUAUGACUGGUGGCCUGCAGUGCAGUCAACAAAAAAACUGCACAAGUACAUAGACUAAGCAGUUUGCCAAGUUUAGAAAUUUCUCUCUAAUAGCCACAUUAAUGAAAAGGAUAAUUAUCAGCAAUUCCUGCUAUGUGAUGGGAAUGUGCGAUGGUAGUGAAAAACACACACAGACUCUGGAAAAUAACACCCAUGCUGAGGACUAAACACUGGGACAAACCUCUCUGAUCUCUGAAGGAAAAGGCAACAGAGCUGAUGGAGACUUCAUAGCUCUUUGAGUUAAAUACAUGAACAGAAGUGAUGAGGUUGGGCAGAGACUACUAAUAGAAAGAAGACAACACAAGCCCCACAGACAUUUAGUCUCUCCCAUAAAGACAAGCUGCCUGACAAACAAGUAGGAAUUAGGACAGUCUCCCAACUCUGUGCUAUAUUCUCAUCAUUCCUAUACACUGAAGGCCCUUGGAUGUGGGUAUUCCUUUUUGAUAUAAUGAGACCUCUCUCUUCAGAAGACACAUUCAUUUUGGUAAAUGAACACAAUUUCUGUUACCCCCCUCUGGGGGAAUUCUACAUGACUCCAGCUCAGAUCUUCGUUUUAUCUAUUUUUAAGUGGUUUGCAUGCCU